rnacentral:rRNA from 1 species
UCAAGCUACUAAGGGUAUAUGCACGGAUGACUUGGUUAGGUGAGGCGAUGAAGGACGGGGUAAGCACCGAUAUGCUUCGGGGAGCAGCAAACAUGCUUUGAUCCGGAGAUUUCCGAAUGGGGCAACCCUGCGCGUAGAAAUACGCGUAACUCUGCGAUGAAUACAUAGUCGUAGAGAGCGAACGGGACGAAUUGAAACAUCUAAGUAAGCCCAGGAGAAGAAAUCGAAUGAGAGUCCCCCAGUAGAGGCGAUCGAAAAGGGAUGAGUCUAAACCGCGCGAAAAUUCCGCAAGGAAAAUUUGCGCGGGGUUGCGGGACCUCGAUGUGAUAGUCAGAGGGAUAGCAGAAUUGCCUGGAAAGGCAAGCCAAAGAGAGUGAGAGCCUCGUAAGCGAAAUUCUGAUGACGUCUAGAGGUAUCCCAAGUACCACGGGACACGGGAAAUCCUGUGGGAAUCCAGGCUGACCACAGUCUAAGACUAAAUACUACACCUAAACCGAUAGUGCACCAGUACCGUGAGGGAAAGUUGAAAAGAACCCCGGGAGGGGAGUGAAAUAGAACCUAAAAUCAUAUACCUACAAAGCAGUGGAAGGGCUAUGCCGUUGGCGCAAGCUGACGGAAUGCCUGACCGCGUACCUUUUGCAUAAUGGUCCGACGAGUUUAUGUUGCAAGCGAGUUUAAGUGUUGCGUGAAAGCGUAACAUGGAGGCGUAGGGAAACCGAGUGCUAACCGCGCGUUUAGCUUGCAAUAUAAGACCCGAAGCUGAGUGAUCUAUCCAUGGCCAGGGGGAAGUUCCGGGAAACCGGGAUGGACGCCCGAACCCUCGAGCGUUGAAAAACUCUUGGAUGAGCUGUGGAUUGGAGCGAAAGACUAAACAAACUCAGAAAUUGCUGGUUCUCCCCGAAACAAUUCUAGGGUUCGCCUUUAGAAACUACAUCGGAGGGGUAGAGUGCUGAAUGGACUACGGGAGUCUACCGACUUGCUGAGUCCAACCAAACUUCGAAUACUACGAUGACUAUCUAAGGAGUAAGACGACGGGGGCCAAGCUCCGUCGUCAAAAGGGUAACAGCCCAGACCACCAGCUAAGGUCCCUAAUCAUAAGCUAAGUUGUAAAGGAUGUGGAUCCGCAAUAACAGCCAGGAUGUUGGCUCAGAGGCAGCCAUCAUUUAAAGAGUGCGUAACAGCUCACUGGCCGAGCGAGUCUGCGCCUAAGAUGACCGGGGAUCAAGCUUAUAACCGAAGCUGUGGGUUCGAUCUGCCUUCGGGCAGAUAGAGCGGUAGGGGAGCAUCGUCCAAUUGGGUGAAGCUGUACCGUAAGGAGCAGUGGACAUUGGACAAGGGAUUAUGUCGGAAUGAGUAGCGAAAACGUCUGCGAGAAACAGACGCGCCGAAAGUCGAAGGUUUCCUGGGGAAGGUUAAUCCACCUAGGGUUAGUCGUGCCUAAGCUGAGGCCUAAUGGCGUAGGUGAUGGACAAAAUGUUAAUAUUCCUUGACUAACUGAUUGGCGUUAUCACUUGUGUGUGACACAGGAGGGACGAGUCUGCGAGGUGUUGGAUGUCCUCGUUUUUGCAUCCGGAAGGAUGCGAAGGGACCCUGAGGUUUCCGAGGGGGAAGUGAAUCGAUUCCACACUGUCCAGAAAAACCACAUGAGGAGUCAAUCGGUUACACGUACCGGAAUCCGACACAGGUAGACCACCAGAAUAUGGUAAGGCGAUCGAGAUAACCCUCUUUAAGGAACUCUGCAAUCUAGCCGCGUAAGUUCGCAAUAAGCGGUGCCCUGCCCCGUAAGGGGAUGGGGUCUCAGUAAAGUGGAUCGGGUGACUGUUUAGCAAAAACACAUCUCUCUGCAAACUCGUAAGAGGACGUAUAGGGAGUGACACCUGCCCAGUGCUGGAAGGUUAAGGGAAUUCGUCAGUUGGGAGCAAUCCUUUCGAAGCGAUGAACCGAAGCCCCAGUAAACGGCGGCCGUAACUAUAGGCUGGACCAAAUGUAGUUGUAAAAUCUGGCUAUAUGCUGGAAAAUCCCGUUAAGCUGAUGGUACAUCCCGAAUAUUAUCGGGAUCGUGACAAUCUGUCAGAUAGGGAUUAUCAGCAGGAAAGACCUGAAGGAGGUCUCCAUGAAAGCUGAAAUCGGCUAUUAUCUUGCCGGUUUUGCCGACGGAGAAGGGAGCUUUAACGUGUCCUUUCGCCCAAGGCAAGACUACAAAUCACCAUGGAAAGUUUCUUUGUGUUUCAAUAUCUCUCAGAAAGAUAAAGUUAUUCUUGCUUUAUACAAACGCUAUUUGGGCUGCGGCACACUUCGCGGCAGGCCUGACGGUGUUUGGUAUUUCGAAGUGAAUAAUCUAAAUGCAAUCAGGGAGAUAGUAAUACCUUUCUUCAAAAGAUAUCCGUUCCUAUCAGCGAAGAAAAAACGCGAUUUCGCGAAAUUCUGCGAACUUGCCAAGUUGAUCACGAACGAAAAUCAUCUGACAGAAGAAGGUAUAAAGAAAAUACUUGAGAUACGAAGAGACAUGAAUGAUGGUGGUAAACGAAAAUACAGCGAAAUGGAGAUACUCAGUAAGCUGAAGGAAUCCUCAGAGACUAUACGCCAGACUCCUCAAACAGGAGAUGAUAUAGUCCGGUCUUCCGAGGAAUCGGAAGUUAACAUACACGAACGGUCCUAAGGUUAACGUC